rnacentral:ribozyme from 1 species
AAGAAAUAAAGUUCAUAUCGUCCCCAAUAAUCUUCUUUUUUUUUUUUUUUUUUUU